rnacentral:rRNA from 1 species
AUUGAACGCUGGCGGCAGGCCUAACACAUGCAAGUCGAGCGGUAGAGAGGUGCUUGCAUCUCUUGAGAGCGGCGGACGGGUGAGUAAUGCCUAGGAAUCUGCCUAGUGGUGGGGGAUAACGUUCGGAAACGGACGCUAAUACCGCAUACGUCCUACGGGAGAAAGCGGGGGAUCUUCGGACCUCGCGCCAUUAGAUGAGCCUAGGUCGGAUUAGCUAGUUGGUGAGGUAAUGGCUCACCAAGGCGACGAUCCGUAACUGGUCUGAGAGGAUGAUCAGUCACACUGGAACUGAGACACGGUCCAGACUCCUACGGGAGGCAGCAGUGGGGGAAUAUUGGACAAUGGGCGAAAGACCUGAUCCAGCCAUGCCGCGUGUGUGAAGAAGGUCUUCGGAUUGU